UACGUAGGGACCAAGCGUUGUUCGGAUUUACUGGGCGUAAAGGGCGCGUAGGCGGCGUGGUAAGUCACUUGUGAAAUCUCCGAGCUUAACUCGGAACGGUCAAGUGAUACUGCUGUGCUAGAGUGCAGAAGGGGCAAUCGGAAUUCUUGGUGUAGCGGUGAAAUGCGCAGAUAUCGGGAGGAACACCGGUGGCGAAGGCGGUUCUCUGGGCCUUACCUGACGCUGAGGAGCGAAAGCGUGGGGAGCGAACAGG
rnacentral:rRNA from 1 species